GUAGGUGGCAAGCGUUAUCCGGGAAUUAUUGGGGCGUAAAGCGCGCGCAGGCGGUUUCUUAAGUCAGAUGUGAAAGCCCACGGGCUCAACCGUGGAGGGUCAUUGGAAACUGGGGAACUUGAGUGCAGAAGAGAAAAGCGGAAUUCCACGUGUAGCGGUGAAAUGCGUAGAGAUGUGGAGGAACACCAGAGGCGAAGGCGGCUUUUUGGUCUGUAACUGACGCUGAGGCGCGAAAGCGUGGGGAGCAAACAGGAUUAGAUACCCUGGUAGUCCACGCCGUAAACGAUGAGUGCUAAGUGUUAGAGGGUUUCCGCCCUUUAGUGCUGCAGCUAACGCAUUAAGCACUCCGCCUGGGGAGUACGGUCGCAAAGACUG
rnacentral:rRNA from 1 species